UGCAGGACCGUCAACUGCACCAGCGAACUGUGUCAUAAAUUGUGGACGCCGUACGGAGGCCACUGCUAUUUCUUCUCCAAGAACAUCUUGGGAUGGGAAGAGAGUAGACAAGCCUGCAUCUCCGACG